AUAACUCUUAUAAAAAAUUAUUUGUGUACCUCAAUCUUGUCACUUCAAUGAGUGAUCGUCAUUCAUGCAAAAUAAAAGAGGGAUUAUUGACGCUGACUUUGUGGGUGGAGUUAUGACAUCACAUCAUACAAAAAAAUUAUUUAUCAUAAACACUCCUACUUUAGUCAUUAUCCUUUUCUUCAAGAGUCACCAUGGUCAUAAUUCUAUUAAUUUUUCAGUCACUCUACUGUAUUACAGGAGUUGCUGGAGCGAAUGAUGUCUCUCAGUCCAAUGAAAUCUUGAUUAAAAAGGGUCAAUCAACCACAGUGAACUGCUCACACACCAAGGGUGCAUCUUACAGCCGGAUGUAUUGGUAUCGUCAGUAUAAUGGAGAGAGUAUGGAACUCAUAGUGUACUCUCCUACAUAUGGCACUCCAGAGUUUGGAAAGUUCAGCCAAAGUAAAUUUGCAGUGACUAAAUCAAAUCCUGAGAGCGGCUCUUUCACAGUAAAGAAUGUGGACUAUAAUGAUAGUGCUGUGUAUUUUUGUGCCGUGAGUGAACACAGUGUUAGAGCUACAGGGCAGAGCUGUACAAAAACACACUGGGGGUCUCAGAAUUGGAGACGCCUAAAGAUGGCAGUAUGAUGCAACAAAUUCUGAUAAAGAAUUAUAAUUAAUUUAAAGUCUAUUUUCCCCUAUGUGGAGUCUGGCAGGGUUUUGUGUGUUUUUAUUUUGUGUCAUUUACCAAAUGACUAUGUUUUCUAUCAGCCAAUGAUAAUAAUGAACACUUUGACAUUUUUGAGGUAACAUUAUAUUCCUAGUUGUUUAGUGCAAUAGAAUCAAGGUUGUUAAAGUGCAAAGAGCAAAAUGAAGAAGAUUCAAAGCAUCUGUGCAUUUUUUAUUUAUUUUACAGACAGUGGUUCAAAAUCACUGUAAACUU